rnacentral:rRNA from 1 species
AGACCCGAAACCCGGUGAUCUAGCCAUGGGCAGGUUGAAGGUUGGGUAACACUAACUGGAGGACCGAACCGACUAAUGUUGAAAAAUUAGCGGAUGACCUGUGGCUGGGGGUGAAAGGCCAAUCAAACCGGGAGAUAGCUGGUUCUCCCCGAAAGCUAUUUAGGUAGCGCCUCGUGAAUUCAUCUCCGGGGGUAGAGCACUGUUUCGGCUAGGGGGCCAUCCCGGCUUACCAACCCGAUGCAAACUGCGAAUACCGGAGAAUGUUAUCACGGGAGACACACGGCGGGUGCUAACGUCCGUCGUGAAGAGGGAAACAACCCAGACCGCCAGCUAAGGUCCCAAAGUCAUGGUUAAGUGGGAAACGAUGUGGGAAGGCCCAGACAGCCAGGAUGUUGGCUUAGAAGCAGCCAUCAUUUAAAGAAAGCGUAAUAGCUCACUGGUCGAGUCGGCCUGCGCGGAAGAUGUAACGGGGCUAAACCAUGCACCGAAGCUGCGGCAGCGACGCUUAUGCGUUGUUGGGUAGGGGAGCGUUCUGUAAGCCUGUGAAGGUGUGUCGUGAGGCAUGCUGGAGGUAUCAGAAGUGCGAAUGCUGACAUAAGU